AUUGAACGCUGGCGGCGUGCUUAACACAUGCAAGUCGAUCGGUAACAGGUGUAGCAAUACAUGCUGACGAGAGGCGGACGGGUGAGUAAUGCUUGGGAAUCUGCCUAUUAGUGGGGGACAACCCGGGGAAACUCGGGCUAAUACCGCAUACGCUCUACGGAGGAAAGCCGGGGACCGCAAGGGCCUGGCGCUAAUAGAUGAGCCCAAGUCGGAUUAGCUAGUUGGUAGGGUAACGGCCUACCAAGGCGACAAUCCGUAGCUGGUCUGAGAGGACGACCAGCCACACCGGAACUGAGACACGGUCCGGACUCC
rnacentral:rRNA from 1 species